AACGUUUCAAAUCCGUGCUAAGAUUUCGUCAGACAGCAACCCAUUAGGACUGAUCAGACUUCUAAGAUAAGUGAAGUU
rnacentral:pre_miRNA from 1 species